rnacentral:rRNA from 1 species
GACGAAGGUGGCUAGCGUUGCUCGGAUUUACUGGGCAUAAAGCGCGCGUAGGUGGUCCUGUAAGCGAGAGAUGAAAGCCCAUGGCUCACCCAUGGAACUGUCCCUCGGACUGCAGGGCUGGAGGGCGGGAGGGGAGAAUGGAAUUCCCGGUGUAGCGGUGAAAUGCGUAGAUAUCGGGAGGAACGCCGGUGGCGAAAGCGAUUCUCUGGCCCGUUCCUGACACUGAUGCGCGAAAGCUAGGGGAGCAAACAGGAUUAGAUACCCUGGUAGUCCUAGCUGUAAACGAUGGGCACUGGGUAGAGGUGGUGUCGAUACCGUCUCUGCCGAAGCAAAUGUGUUAAGUGCCCCGCCUGGGGAGUACGGUCGCAAGGCUAAA